GACGAACGCUGGCGGCGUGCCUAAUACAUGCAAGUAGAACGCUGAAGGAGGAGCUUGCUCUUCUGGAUGAGUUGCGAACGGGUGAGUAACGCGUAGGUAACCUGCCUGGUAGCGGGGGAUAACUAUUGGAAACGAUAGCUAAUACCGCAUAAUAGUAGAUGUUGCAUGAUAUUUACUUAAAAGGUGCAAUUGCACCACUACCAGAUGGACCUGCGUUGUAUUAGCUAGUUGGUGGGGUAACGGCUCACCAAGGCGACGAUACAUAGCCGACCUGAGAGGGUGAUCGGCCACACUGGGACUGAGACACGGCCCAGACUCCUACGGGAGGCAGCAGUAGGGAAUCUUCGGCAAUGGAAGAAAGUCUGACCGAGCAACGCCGCGUGAGUGAAGAAGGGUUUCGGAUCGUAAAGCUCUGUUGUAAGAGAAGAACGAGUGUGAGAGUGGAAAGUUCACACUGUGACGGUAUCUUACCAGAAAGGGACGGCUAACUACGUG
rnacentral:rRNA from 1 species